rnacentral:rRNA from 1 species
UACAGAGGGUGCAAGCGUUAAUCGGAAUUACUGGGCGUAAAGCGUGCGUAGACGGUUGCGUAAGUCAGAUGUGCAAGCCCCGGGCUCAACCUGGGAAUUGCAUUUGAGACUGCGUAGCUAGGGUGCGGAAGAGGGAAGCGGAAUUUCCGGUGUAGCGGUGAAAUGCGUAGAGACCCGGAGGAACACCAGUGGCGAAGGCGGCUUCCUGGUCUGCAACUGACGCUGUGGCGCGAAAGCUAGGGGAGCAAACGGG